CAGGGAUAGAUUUGCGUGGUGAGGAAUAGUGUGUGUGGAAACGCAUUGUCAACGUGCAGUUCAUGUUUAUUCCUGUGAAUAUGGCCCAUCUGUGUGGAAGCACCGCAUGCCCAGUCGGUGCCUGAGAAACUUAUAUAAACUUGUUCCUCUCUCAGCCAGUAUCCCAAAGAGAACAGACAGGUCCUCUUUCCACAAAGGGGAGAAACACAAAAAGCGCAACAGCUCUCGUUACCAGAGUGUAAUUUAGGCGGCUGAUUUAAUUUGCCUCUGUGUAAAUCACUGCAAAGGUCACACGUUCCCUCUCCGCUCUCUCUCGCGACAGAGAUCCAGAAAAGGCGCUCGCUCCAAUGUCUGUUUUCCAUUUUGUUUUCCGCUACAUUCCCUCCCCCCCUUUUAAUUUUUUACUUGAACGAUUCAGUUGGGGAAUCGGAGUAAUCGCUGUCGUCCCGCAUUCCUACCAGGAGUUUUCCCGGAAGAAAGAAAUUGUGAAAACAAUAUAGAUUUUAAUGAGAUAAACGAUGAAGGGUAUUCAGUUUAAAAUGAUUGUGCAGUUUGGCCCCCCACACCCCAGUCUCCCCCAAGUGCUGUAAAUACAGAGGGAUUUGUGCCUGCCUGCAGUUGUUUGGGUGAAUGGAGGGGCAUUCGUGCAGAAUGCAGAGGUGAUUGGAAGUGGCUCUGGGCAGAGUGGAUAGCCCUCUCCUCCCCCCUUCUUAUUUUUAUUUUGUUUUAUUUAUUUAUUUUUGCUCCUGGUGCGGUGGCCGGGCAGCUCAGCCAGCUUCCUUGCUCUUCGCUCUCGCAAUUGAUUGCUGUGUCUGGGCGCCGGUUCUGCAUUAGUAUUAAUCACCAACAACACAUCUGCCCUCGCUGACCGUUACCAAGGUUACCGCGCUUCUCAUUCACUGUCCACAUUAUUGUCGAAUGAUUUUUUUUUCUCGCUGUCCUCCUCUCUCCUCCCCUGAGUGCAGAUUGAGUUUCCUGCCACUUUGUGUGCCUUCUUUCUCUUCCGGCACAUUUGCCACAUUUGGCCGUUUGCGCCUUUCCCCAGCUGAGGCUGUGUGCUUCGUGCUAAUCGCGCCUGCGCGUCAACAAAGCCCAGUGUUUCCAGAAUACCAUCAGCGGCGCUCCGCGUCUUUAUGAUGCAAAUGAUGACUGAGCUAAUUAAAGCCUAUUCUCGUAACGCUGUCUCCCGCGAUGACCUUGAUGAUGGGCUGAAGCCUGGCUCCCGGUCCUCCAAGCCUGGCGCUCCCUCAUUACCUGCUCGGUCCUGCCUUCCUCUGGGCCUCUGGAGUCCCUCACACACCUGCUGCUAACACCGCGCCACUCCACUCACACACAGAGCGGGGCCGAGGGACAAGCCGAGGCACAGCUGUAUCUGAAUUCCUGGAAAAUUGGUGAGAUCAAGAUGUGCAGCCAAGGAGGGUCUGGACCUGCCAGACGAGCAGAGGUUGGCAAGCGGUGAGUUGAAGCAGGUCUGGUGGACGGUCUGGUCAUCGAAUGAAUGCAGGAAGGAGACUUAACCUCCUUUGUUCCUUUGUGCCAGCGGCAGCCCUGAAUCUAUCGUGAGCGGCAACCGGAGGUCGCUGACGGAAGACGAGGAGACGUGAUCGUUUCGUGCUCUCUGUGUGGCUGAUUUAAACUGCAUCUUGCAUCAUGAUUUCAGGUUUGAGCACAGAAGCCAAAGAGGAGCUCCUGAGGCAAACCAGUGAUAUGGCGCCCUCCUCUGUAAGAAACAAGUAGGCCUACAUCGUUGGUAAGUACACCAUAGUGCAUUCAUAAGACUUAAACAUGAGUUAAAAAAUGUUAAAUUCUUGGACUAUAAGUGCUCUUAUGGAAACAGAAUAUACUGAAAUAUAUUGAAAUGUAUCAAAAAAUAUAUCACAACAUUUUACUAUAUGGGAAUUUCUUUGCAUGUUCUCCCCGUGUCUGCGUGGGUUUCCUCCCACAGACCAACGUCAUGCAGGUUAGGUUAAUUGGACAGUCUAAAUUGCCCAUAGUUAUGAGUGUGUGAGUGAAUGGUGUGCAUGCCCUGCGAUGGAAUGGUGUGUGUGCCCUGCGAUGGACUGGCAAACUGUCUAGGGUGUAUUCCUGCCUCUUGCCCAACGCACGCUGGGACAGCACCUCCUGUUGUCCAGACCAGGAAUAAGCGGGUAUAGAUGAUGGAUGGAUGUAAUAUAUACAAAUUAUUGCCAAUUUCAGAUAUUGCUAAAUAUAUAUUUAAAAAUAAUAAACGCUGCAAUAAGUAUUUAACAUAUUUAAGUUCCCUUUAAGUUCAUGUAGGGAUAUUCAUUUUGAGUUUGCAAUUCCAUCCAUCCAUCCAUUAUCUAUACCCGCUUAUCCUGGUUAGGGUCAUGAGAGGUGCUGGAGCCUAUUCCAGCAUGCAUUGGGCAAGAGGCCGAUAUACACCCUGAACAGGUCGCCAAUCUGUUCACUUACAAACUCAUACUUGCACUAUGGGUAGCCUACCUGCAACUUAACCUACCUGCAUGUCUUUGGACUUUGGGAGGAAACCAGAGUACCCAAAGGAAACCCACACAGACAUGGGGAGAACAGGCAUACUCCACAUAGAAAGGGCCAGGCCAGGAUUCGAACCCAUGUCCAUCUUACUGUGAGGCGCCAGUGAUACCCACUGCUGCACUAUAAAUUGUUUAACAUUAUUAGUUCUGAACAUUUUGACCAACAUCAACAAUUGAGCUUUGGAUCAGUGGGUCUUAUAAGAAGAUGAGACAUAUGCUGUUUUGCAUUUUACCUGAGUUGAGUAUUUACUUGUGCUUUAGAUUAUGAUGCCAUUUCACUGAAAUAAAUUGUACACGACUCAUUAAAUUGAUAAAUGUGGUAUCUAAAGCAUUAUAUAAUGAUUAUUCCAAGACUGUUUGCUAAUUUAACAUGUAGAUCAGUUUGUGUGUCUAGUCUGUCAUUGCUUAAUGUAACUACAAAUGUCAAAAUGUCACUGCUCUCACCCUGAAUAACUCCCCACAAAUGGAAAAACUGACAAGCAGUAAAUGCUCACUGAUGAAAGAAGAGAAACGAUGUAAACAGUGAUCACUGACAGGCACGAUGGAUUGAAUGUGUCACCAUCUUCUGCUUCUUUGUGCUUUAAUGAGAAUUUACUGAGCUUGAGGCUGGCACUGAAAGAUCUCCCUGAUCUCACCUACUGUAUCCUGCUGGCCAUGAUAACUUUUUAAUCAUGGGUACUAUUCAUCUGACCUUCUCUGAUAGCAGAUAUCCCGCCCCAAACCUCCAGUCUUGUGAUAACAGGGCUGGAGAUGUGCUACCAUAGCCGUAAUGGGUGCCAUACAAAUCACAUUUAUUCUCAAGCUGUUAGGCCAGAGUGGAACGGAACCAGGAACAAUUAUACUGUUGGAUGAUUUGAUGGACAGUCAGGUUAAAUUUAAAUCCCAUUAUAGAACAUACCAAUACCAAUCCUGUAUCAGCUACACUAUCAGCCAGGGGGUACAGUCACUGGGUGGCUUGGUUGCAGAUUUUCAGGUGUCAAUAUUCAUUAAUCUGUCAAUUGAAGGUGAACUUGAUUGUCCCUGGUGUUGCAUUAAGAGAAUGAAUUGAAUAUUUAAUGAAUUAUUGAAUAAGAAAUGCUGAUCCUGUCUUUCCAGGUAGAUGGGAUAACAGCCAGUGAGUUUAUGUAAUUUUCUUUUCAUUUAUUAUUUUUUUUCCAACAUCCAAGUGUAUUUCUCCAUUUGACCACAAGAUGAUGGUAUUGCACCAUUGAAACACAGCCGGACUUGCACACUAUUUUCCUCUUGUACACACAUGAACAGUGCAUCUAAAAUGUGAUACACCACAGAAAAUGCAGUAAGCCAGACACUUACACAAACACACAUAUACACACACACACACACACACAGUCCCGUAUUGCUAUCCUUGUGGGGACUUCCCAUUGACUACAUUAAUUCCGUAACCUCUAACCCUAACCCCAACCACUACAUGCCUAACCUUAACCCUAACCUUAAGCUAAUUGUAACCCUAACCCUAAUCCUAAAUCCUUACCCUAAAACAGCCUCUUGACCUUGUGGGGACCAGCAGAAUGUCCCCACAGCGCAUAAUGUUCCUCAUCUUUCUAUCCGUAUGGGGACAUUUGGUCCCCACAAAGGUAGUACUACAAGUUCACAUGCACACACACACACACACACACAAAAUUAAAUCCUGACCACUUCAAUCUACACAAACCACAUUUUUACACAUUACUGCUGUGUGCAAACUAUAUUUAGCACGAGCCACUUAUCUGUUAAAAAAACAUUUUCCAAAAGACAUUGUCUGGUUAAUGUCCUUUAGUACUUAAACAGAAGUGGUGAACUUUGCACAAUCACAAUAGUAAUGUUUAAAUAUUCAAGGGGGGGGUUGGUGAACAGAUUUAAUUAAUGAAUUAGUGAUAAUCCCUUCAAUAUGGACACCAUGUGGCUUUGCAACUUGAGAGGACAA